GAUGAACGCUAGCUACAGGCUUAACACAUGCAAGUCGAGGGGUAACGAGAGGAAGGCUUGCUUUCCUUGUCGACGACCGGCGCACGGGUGAGUAACGCGUAUCCAACCUGCCCCCAACUAGGGAAUAACCUUGCGAAAGUAAGACUAAUACCCUAUAAUUUCCUCAGAUGACAUCUGACGAGGAAUAAAGAUUUAUCGGUUGUGGAUGGGGAUGCGUCUGAUUAGCUUGUUGGCGGGGUAACGGCCCACCAAGGCAACGAUCAGUAGGGGUUCUCAGAGGAAGGUCCCCCACAUUGGAACUGAGACACGGUCCAAACUCCUACGGGAGGCAGCAGUGAGGAAUAUUGGUCAAUGGGCGGAAGCCUGAACCAGCCAAGUAGCGUGCAGGAUGACGGCCCUAUGGGUUGUAAACUGCUUUUAUACAGGAAUAAAGUUAGCCACGUGUGGUUAUUUGUAGGUACUGUAUGAAUAAGGACCGGCUAAUUCCGUGCCAGCCGCCGCAGUAAAAC
rnacentral:rRNA from 1 species